UAUUUUGUUCCACACAUUUAUUUAUUUAUUUAUCUCUUACCAACUAUUAUUUUAAUCACAAAUCAAUCUAGUAAAUGUUUAGAAAAAUCAAUCAUUUGGAGGUGGGAAUCAUUUGGAGGUGGAAACUAAUAACUUCUUUGCUUCUUCUCCAGGGAUCCAGUGUGUGGACACGCACAGGUCUGAGCUCAUCCAGAGGAUCCAGAGGGUGAUGGUGGUGACACGCAAACUGGUGUCAAUGGGCAGGAUCAAUGUGAAGACAUAUUCACAGUUCAAGAGAGCUCAGACCAAACAAGAAUAAGAGAUUUAUGAAGCACUGGAUGAAGGAGAAGAUGAAAUUGAAUCUGUGUUUUAUUCUGCACUGAGGAAUUGUGAACCAAACCUUACUUUCCUAGGUAAAGAUGCCACAGAAAAUAAUCUAUUCAAAAGUGUACCAAGUAAAUAUAUAUGCCAUAUCAUCCUUUAAAACACUUUAUAUUGGUCAUGCUCAACACUCCGGAAUAUACUGAUCUCCUUAAUAGGUUUGUCAUUUGAUCAAGCUCCUUGUUUUCUGCAAAUUGAAGCAUAUCUGAAACAUAAGUGUAAAUGCUUCAUCAAAGAUCUACUUUGUACAUGAAAAUGCUUGAAACUUUCAAUAAUUUUGAGAAAACAAAAUAAUAAUAUAUAUAAAAGUACAUAUUUGUACCUUAAGGGUCCAUUUUGGUACCUUAAAAGUAUAUAUUAGUACUUAAAGUGAACAUAUUAGAACCCAAUAGGUACAAAAGUGUACCUUUUGAAAAGGUCCCGCCCCAGUGACAGCUUUUGUACCUUUAUUUCUGUAUACUUUCGUUUUAUCUGAAUAAACCCCACCUCAUUUACGUGAACAACGAAGCGUUGAAACUUAGUCUCGACAGGUUUACAAUAACAAAAUUAAAUAAAUAAAAAUAACAGUUAAUCAUCUGCAUCUGUGGGUUUGGGGUUAUCCACAAAAAUGAGCGAGGAUCACGAAGGAGAGCAGCGGGAGCAAUGCAAAGGUGCAGAGCGGACAACGCAUCACGACACCGUCACAGCAGAUGACCUACUACCCCGGAACAACCUCAUCAAGAGAAAAGGUAACAUAACUAAACCCAUGCCGCCCUCUACUGGACAACUUUGUUAAAUGCAUCCCAUUUACUACACAGUCCUCGUGCCCCCUGCUCUUCACAUUUUGUAUGUUUUUUUAUGGCUUCAGAGUUUGUUCUAUUCGAACAUAAGUGCCCUGCGAGUUCGAAGCGAAUGUAAAUGUUCCAUUCAAAGUGCAUUAAAGUGUGGGAGACGUUAAUUUAAGUUGUAUUUAUUUACAGAGGUAUAUGUCACACUUGUCCGUGUGUGAAGACAUUGGGCAUCGCAAAUCCGUGAAUGAAUGUUCCGAAGUGAAGUAAACUUCAACAGAUUUCCCCUGCUAAGGGAGUAGAGAGAAAUGAACACUGUGUAGGGAGCAUGACAUUCGGAACACAGUUCAUGCACAGCGCUCACUUCUAACGAUCUGAUUAUCUGAAUCAG
rnacentral:lncRNA from 12 species